UUUUUUUGUAGGUGUUUUUUUUAUUUAAUGAAGUUGCUACAACCAUGAAAUACAGCAACAUAUAGAUCAGGCUGGUGUAGUACAGAAAACAGUUCCACGUACCAACUAUACAGAGCAGGGUCAUGCACAGCAGUUGGAUUCUAAUCAAAUCAAACUUUAUUAGUCACAUGACCCCGAAUACAAAAAAAAAGUGUAGACCUCACAGUGGAAUGCUGACUUAUGAGCCCCUAACCAAUAGGUGUAGACCUCACAGUGGAAUGCUGACUUAUGAGCCCCUAACCAAUAGGUGUAGACCUCACAGUGGAAUGCUGACUUAUGAGCCCCUAACCAAUAGGUGUAGACCUCACAGUGGAAUGCUGACUUAUGAGCCCCUAACCAAUAGGUGUAGACCUCACAGUGGAAUGCUGACUUAUGAGCCCCUAACCAACAACGUAGUUGUAUAUGGAUAAGAAUAAGCAAUAAAAGUAACCCCAUAUUCAAGUAACCUAAUUAAAGAGCAGCAGUAAACUAACAAUAGUGAGACUAUAUACAGGGGGUAACGGUACAGAGUCAAUGUGGAGGCUAUAUACAGGGGGUACCGGUACAGAGUCAAUGUGGAAGCUAUAUACAGGGUGUUACGGUACAGAGUCAAUGUGGAGGCUAUAUACAGGGGGGUACCGAUACAGAGUCAAUGUGGAGGCUAUAUACAGGGGGUACCGGUACAGAGUCAAUGUGGAGGCUAUAUACAGGGGGUACCAGUACAGAGUCAAUGUGGAGACUAUAUAUAGGGUGUUACGGUACAGAGUCAAUGUGGAGGCUAUAUACAGGGGGUACCGGUACAGAGUCAAUGUGGAGGCUAUAUACAGGGGGUACCAGUACAGAGUCAAUGUGGAGGCUAUAUAUAGGGUGUUACGGUACAGUCAAUGUGGAGGCUAUAUACAGGGUAUUACGGUACAGAGUCAAUGUGGAGGCUAUAUACAGGGGGAACCGGUACAGAGUCAAUGUGGAGGCUAUAUACAGGGGGUACCGGUACAGAGUCAAUGUGGAGGCUAUAUACAGGGGGCACCGGUACAGAGUCAAUGUGCCGGGGCACCGGUUAGUUGAGGUAAUAUGUACAUAGAGUUAUUAAAGUGACAAUGCAUAGAUGAUAACAACAGAGAGUAACAGUGGUGUAAAAGAGGGGGGCAAUGCAAAUAGUCUGGGGAGCCAUUUGAUUAGUUGUUCAGGAGACUUAUGGCUUGGGGGUAGAAGCUGUUUAGGAGCCUCUUGGACCUAGACUUGGCACUCUGGUACCGCUUGCCAUGCGGUAGCAGAGAGAAAGACUAGAGUGGCUGGAGUCUGACAAUUUUUAGGGCCUUCCUCUGACGCAGCCUGGUAUAGAGGUCCUGGAUGGCAGGAAGCUUGUCCCCAGUGAUGUACUGGGCCAUACGCAUUACCCUCUGUAGUGGCUUACGGUCGGAGGCCGAGCAGUUACCAUAACAGGCAUUGAUGCAACUAGUCAGGAUGCUCUCGAUGGUGCAGCUGUAGAACCUUUUGAGGAUCUGAGGACCCAUGACAAAUAUUUUGUCUCCUGAGGGGGAAUAGGUUUUGUUUUGCCCUCUUCUCUUAUCUUGGUGUGCUUGGACCAUGUUAGUUUGUUGGUGAUGUGGACACCAAGGAACUUGAAGCUCUCAACCUGCUCCACUGCAGCCCCGGCGAUGAGAAUGGGGGCGUGCUUAGUCCUUUUUUUCCCUGUAGUCCACAAUCAUCCCCUUUGUCUUGAUCACGUUGAUGGAGAGGUUGUUGUCCUGGCACCACACGGCCAGGUCUCUGACCUACUCCCUAUAGGCUGUCUCGUCGUUGAGGGAGAGGUUGUUGUCCUGGCACCUCCCGGCCAGGUCUCUGACCUCCUCCCUAUAGGCUGUCUCGUCGUUGAGGGAGAGGUUGUUGUCCUGGCACCUCCCGGCUAGGUCUCUGAUCUCCUCCCUAUAGGCUGUCUCGUCGUUGAGGGAGAGGUUGUUGUCCUGGCACCUCACGGCCAGGUCUCUGACCUCCUCCCAAUAGGCUGUCUCAUCGUUGAGGGAGAGGUUGUUGUCCUGGCACCUCACGGCCAGGUCUCUGACCUCCUCCCUAUAGGCUGUCUCAUCUGGCACCACACGGCCAGGUCUCUGACCUCCUCCCUAUAGUCUUUCUCAUCGUUGAGGGAGAGGUUGUUGUCCUGGCACCUCACGGCCAGGUCUCUGACCUCCUCCCUAUAGGCUGUCUCGUCGUUGAGGGAGAGGUUGUUGUCCUGGCACCUCACGGCCAGGUCUCUGACCUCCUCCCUAUAGGCUGUCUCGUCGUUGUCGGUGAUCAGGCCUACGGUUCUGGUCUGGGUUGUUUUAUGGGACGCUGCAUAUUUCUGACCGGUCUCAUCAUGUCAAAGCUUUUAAACAUUUAAAAAAUUGGAGUUGUCAGCUGGUGAGCAGAGCCUGGUCCCAGAUCAGUUUGUUCUCUUGAUAACUCCAAUGCUGUCAUUGUCAAGCUAAAUGAGUGACAAGGAGUUGGCAUGACAGCACAGACAGACUGGCACUCAGUCUAGAACUCAGGCUAGCAUGAUCAUAGUUCCCUUCAACAACGAUGACAAAACUCAAUACGAAAGUAAGAUACGAUUUAUCGGCAAAUCAAUGAUUCCUGAAACACAAGAGGCAUAAAAUAUAUAAAAUAUGAACAUAAUGUCCACUCCCAAUAUAGUGCACUACGUAGGAAAUAUGGUACAAUUUGGGACACACCCAAUAAUCAAGUUCAGUCCGUGGUCAUCACCACCACCUAGCACUUCAAGUAACCAAGGCCAUAAUAACCCAAUAUUUAUUUAACCUUUAUUUAACUAGGCAAGUCAGUUAAGAACAAAUUCUUAUUUUCAAUGACGGUCUAGGAACAGUGGGUUUAACUGCCUGUUCAGGGGCAGAAUGACAGAUUUGUACCUUGUCAGCUCGGGGGUUUGAACUUGCAAUCUUCCUGUUACUAGACCAACGCUCUAACCACUAGGCUACCCUGCCACCAAGUAACCAAGGCCAUAAUAACCCCAUAUCAAGUAACCAAGGCCAUAAUAACCCGAUAUCAAGUAACCAAGGCCGUAAUAACCCGAUAUCAAGUAACCAAGGCCGUAAUAACCCGAUAUCAAGUAACCAAGGCCGUAAUAACCCGAUAUCAAGUAACCAAGGCCGUAAUAACCCGAUAUCAAGUAACCAAGGCCGUAAUAACCCGAUAUCAAGUAACCAAGGCCGUAAUAACCCGAUAUCAAGUAACCAAGGCCGUAAUAACCCGAUAUCAAGUAAUCAAGGCCAUAAUAACCCGAUAUCAGGUAAGCAUGGCCGUAAUAUGGCCUUCCCCUGGGCCUACCCAACAUGUCAGUAGCUAUUAAAAUGUCUAUGACAUCUUUUUGUCAACGUAAUACAGUAUUUCAAACAAGGAAACACAUUACAUAUCAAUAGACAGUUGCUUCAGUCCAAAGGAGGAAGAGAGUCCAGUAGUAGUCUGCAGUUCACAACCAACCAGCCAAUGGUAAGCCAGCAGCCAAUGGUAAGCCAGCAGCCAAUGGUAAGCCAGCAGCCAAUGGUAAGCCAGCAGCCAAUGGUA
ensembl:lncRNA